ACGCUCGACACCUACGGAAGGUAGCAGUAGGGAAUUUUCGGCAAUGGGGGGAACCCGUGACCGAGCAACGCCGCGUGAAGGAAGAAGGAAUUCGUUCUGUAAACUUCUGUUAUAAAGGAAGAACGGCGGAUAUAGGGAAUGAUAUCCGAGUGACGGUACUUUAUGAGAAAGCCACGGCUAACUACGUGCCUGCAGCCGCGGUAAUCUGAGCGGGCUGGCAAGGC
rnacentral:rRNA from 1 species